rnacentral:rRNA from 1 species
GCAAUCACGCUUCUACGGGAGGCAGCAGUGGGGAAUAUUGCACAAUGGAGGGAACUCUGAUGCAGCGACACCGCGUGAGUGAAGAAGGUCUUCGGAUCGUAAAACUCUGUCCUUGGUGAAGAAAAGGACGGUAGCCAAGGAGUGAAGCCCCGGCUAACUACGUGCCAGCAGCCGCGGUAAUAGAUCUGGAUCCCCUCUAG